GACAGAUCAAGAACCAAUUGGGGAAUAGGAACUCAGCAUCAAAAACCACCCCUACAUGUUCUUGCUGAGUGCCCACUGUGUGCAGACUGGAGGGCCUUUGCACAUGAUGGACACUCCUAUUCACUUUUCAGGAACUGCCUACUUUGUCCAUGUAUUCCUUUGGCAUUCAUGAAGAAAAACUCUUUCAAGGUGACAG